rnacentral:rRNA from 1 species
AUUGAACGCUGGCGGCAGGCCUAACACAUGCAAGUCGAGCGAGCGGCGGACGGGUGAGUAAUGUCUGGGAAUCUGCCCGAUGGAGGGGGAUAACUACUGGAAACGGUAGCUAAUACCGCAUACGAUCAGAUGGGCCCAGUUGGGAUUAGCUAGUGGGUGGGGUAACGGCUCACCGAGGCGACGAUCCCUAGCUGGUCUGAGAGGAUGACCAGCCACAGUGGGAGUGAGACACGGCCCAGACUCCUACGGUAGGCAGCAGUGGGGAAUAUUGGGCAAUGGGCGUAAGCCUGAUGCAGCCAUGCCGCGUGAAUGAAGAAGGCCUUCGGGUGGUAAAGUACUUUCGGUGGUGAGGCGUUACCCACAGAAGAAGCACCGGCUAACUCCGUGCCAGCAGCCGCGGUAAUUC